rnacentral:lncRNA from 1 species
ACAGAGGGAGCCGGCUCCGGUCUCGGCCAGCCCAGAGAGGGCCUCCCAUAGUGCAGCGGGGGGCUGAAGGUCUCCUCAAGCGCUGCCAGAGUGGGCGUCGAGGCUGAGGAGACACCGAGAGCGAGUGAGGGCUGCCAGCAUGCUGUCACCUCUCAGUAAUUUGAGAAAAUUUCUGUUUUCUAUGGGGCGAAGAUGCUUUGAUGCUGGUACAAAAAAAAAUUGCCAAGAUGUGAAGAUGCUGGUGCAGAAGAGAAGGCCAGCAGGACCAGGACAGGAAGAAAGCAUGAGAGAGGGUGCUGGGACUCCACCCACAUCAGGUUUUCUACUCCAGACUGGCUGUAACUCCCACUUCUGCACACUUGGGUUCCCAACAUCCUCCUUAAAUGUUGGGAGGUGUCCACAUAUGAUCUUAUGUUGUUAGGGGCUAAAUGGUUUGUUUUCUACAAAUUCCAGUGUUGAAGCUCUAACCCUCACCACCUCAGAAUGUGACUGUAUUUGGAGAUAGUCUUUAAAGAGGUGAUUAAGUUAAAAUGAGACCAUUAGGGUG